CACGUAGGGCGCGAGCGUUGUCCGGAAUUAUUGGGCGUAAAGAGCUCGUAGGCGGCCUGUUGCGUCCGCUGUGAAAGCCCGGGGCUUAACCCUGGGUCUGCAGUGGAUACGGGCAGGCUAGAGGUAGGUAGGGGAGAAUGGAAUUCCCGGUGUAGCGGUGAAAUGCGCAGAUAUCGGGAGGAACACCGGUGGCGAAGGCGGUUCUCUGGGCCUUACCUGACGCUGAGG
rnacentral:rRNA from 1 species